AUUGAACGCUGGCGGCAGGCCUAACACAUGCAAGUCGAGCGGAUGAAGGGAGCUUGCUCCUGGAUUCAGCGGCGGACGGGUGAGUAAUGCCUAGGAAUCUGCCUGGUAGUGGGGGAUAACGUCCGGAAACGGGCGCUAAUACCGCAUACGUCCUGAGGGAGAAAGUGGGGGUCUUCCGGCCUCCAGCUUUCAGGUUAGCCUUAGGUCGGAUUAGCUAGUUGGUGGGGUAAAGGCCUACCAAGGCGACGAUCCGUAACUGGUCUGAGAGGAUGAUCAGUCACACUGGAACUGAGACACGGUCCAGACUCCUACGGGAGGCAGCAGUGGGGAAUAUUGGACAAUGGGCGAAAGCCUGAUCCAGCCAUGCCGCGUGUGUGAAGAAGGUCUUCGGAUUGUAAAGCACUUUAAGUUGGGAGGAAGGGCAGUAAGUUAAUACCUUGCUGUUUUGACGUUACCAACAGAAUAAGCACCGGCUAACUUCGUG
rnacentral:rRNA from 1 species